GUCCCCGCUCCGAGAAUCAUGGCCCCGGCGCCCCCAGUCCCCGCUCCGAGACUCAUGGCCCCGGCGCCCCCAGUCCCCGCUCCGAGACUCAUGGCCCCGGCGCCCCCAGUCCCCGCUCCGAGACUCAUGGCCCCGGCGCCCCCAGUCCCCGCUCCGAGACUCAUGGCCCCGGCGCCCCCAGUCCCCGCUCCGAGACUCAUGGCCCCGGCGCCCCCAGUCCCCGCUCCGAGAAUCAUGGCCCCGGCGCCCCCAGUCCCCGCUCCGAGACUCAUGGCCCCGGCGCCCCCAGUCCCCGCUCCGAGACUCAUGGCCCCGGCGCCCCCAGUCCCCGCUCCGAGACUCAUGGCCCCGGCGCCCCCAGUCCCCGCUCCGAGACUCAUGGCCCCGGCGCCCCCAGUCCCCGCUCCGAGACUCAGAUUCCCUCCCUCCCGCCCUCCCGUUGGUAAUUUGAGGGCCGUCUGGGAUCCGGCCCUUAAGGGGGGGGCUAUGGGGUGGGUUAUGGGGGGGGCUGAGCCGCCGACUGCGGAGGUGUUCCGUGUCCCCGAGCCACCGACUACUGCGGACGUGUUCCGUGUCCCCGAGCUGGAGCCGCCGCCGACUACUGCGGACGUGUUCCGUGUCCCCGAGCUGGAGCGGCCGCCGACUACUGCUGACGUGUUCCGUGUCCCCGAGCUGGAGCGGCCGCCGACUACUGCUGACGUGUUCCGUGUCCCCGAGCUGGAGCGGCCGCCGACUACUGCUGACGUGUUCCGUGUCCCCGAACUCGAGCCGCCGCCGACCCCCCCGGAGGGUUCCCGUGUCCCCGAGCCUGCCAUGCCAGAGACGUUCCGGAGCCGGCCAAAUGACCGUCCGCCGGGCCGACCACCGGAGGCUCCCCGGUCGCCUGGCCGCCCACCGGGCCGCCCGCCAGAGUUUGCUGGGUGGCCCGACCAUUGUCUCUGGUUUCCCUCCCCCCCACCCCUUGUUUCGCUCUAGUGUGAGCCGCCUGGAAGUCGGCCCUUAAGGGGGGGGUACUGUCACGGUGUGGUUCACUUCAUGUUAUAUUUUGUAGUUUUCUGCCACUUGUGUCCCCAGGUAACUUCACUUCCUGCCUUGUCCCGUUGUCCCCUGUGAUUGUCUAAUAGUUUCCACCUGUGUCCAAUCACCUGCACCUCCCUUGUGUAUUUAAGCCGUGUGUCUCCUGUGUCACUUGUCGCGUCAUUGUCUUUUGCCACGCUUGUUCUAGUCUUUCGUCUUGGAUCUCUGUAGUUUCAUGCCUGUGUGUUUUUGCCCCUUGGCCUUUUGGAUUUUGGACCUUUUGACUAUUAAAGUCUUUUGUUUUGGAAAAGUCUGCGUUUGAGUCCUGCCUUCCACCCCCAACCCUGACA
ensembl:lncRNA